AUGAGGCUUUGCUCUUGGGUUGGAUCAUAAGAGCUCUCUAACUACCAGGCUAAAGAGUGAUUAUUUAACUAUAGACUAGGACAGAAGCCAUGAUGAGUGGGAGGUAACAUGUUUUGGAUGCUGCUUAUCUAAGCUGCUUCCACAACACUAGAUCAUCUGUCAAGAUUUCUUGGCAGCCUUGCCUUGCAAAAACAAAGAAUACAUCUGAACCUGACAUAUCUAACAUCCUAACAAAUUGACGAGAAAGGCGGCCAAAUUAAGCACGUUGCUUUUGGCGGUCACAGUGGCACACGUACAUGCAGUCGGACACACACCGUGCUCUAAAACCCACUGCAGUGACCUUUCAGAUGCAGAUGGAGCAGCAGCUUCCCUCCACUGAGAAAAUGUCAACAUCUUCUGCGCUCACUCUGCUUCUUAGCAAACCAAGUUGGCAGCAG